rnacentral:rRNA from 1 species
CAGUCGCCGCGGGAAUACAGAGGGUGCGAGCGUUAAUUGGAUUUACUGGGCGUAAAGCGUGCGUAGGCGGCUUCUUAAGUCGGAUGUGAAAUCCCUGAGCUUAACUUAGGAAUUGCAUUCGAUACUGGGAAGCUAGAGUAUGGGAGAGGAUGGUAGAAUUCCAGGUGUAGCGGUGAAAUGCGUAGAGAUCUGGAGGAAUACCGAUGGCGAAGGCAGCCAUCUGGCCUAAUACUGACGCUGAGGUACGAAAGCAUGGGGAGCAAACAGGAUUAGAUACCCCUGUAGUCCCUGUCUCUUAUAC